rnacentral:rRNA from 1 species
AAGAGUGCGUAAUAGCUCACUGGUCUAGUGAUUCUGCGCCGAAAAUGUAACGGGGCUCAAGCUUCGCACCGAAGCUGCGGGUUUCGCCGUAAGGCGGAGCAGUAGGGGAGCGUUCUGUGGGAGAUACAAGUCGGACCGCGAGGACCGGAUGCGGCCCACAGAAGUGAGAAUGCCGGCAUGAGUAGCGUAAGAUGCGUGAGAAACGUAUCCCCCGUAUGUCUAAGGUUUCCGACGGAAGGUUAAUCCGCGUCGGGUUAGUCGGGCCUAAGGCGAGGCCGAAGGGCGUAGCCGAUGGACAACAGGUUAAUAUUCCUGUACCACGUAGGGUUGUUUGAGCGAUGGGGUGACGCAGAAGGGUAGGCCAGCCUGUUAUUGGAUUCAGGUUCCAAGCCUGUAGGUGUUGAGGGUGGUAGGUAAAUCCGCCACCUGAGCCGAGAGGUGAUGGGGAAGGCCCUAGGCCGUAAACUGGUUGAGCCCAUGCUGCCGAGAAAAGCCUCUAGUUAGACCCGCGUGCCCGUACCGCAAACCGACACUGGUAGACGGGUAGAGAAUACCAAGGGGAUCGGGAGAACCCUCGUUAAGGAACUAGGCAAAAUAGAUCCGUAACUUCGGGAGAAGGAUCGCCGCGGUAGGGUGAGAUGACUAGCUUAUCGAGCCCGAGGCGGCCGCAGUGAAAUGGCCCUGCCGACUGUUUAACAAAAUCACAGGUCUCUGCGAACUCGAAAGAGGACGUAUAGGGGCUGACACCUGCCCAGUGCCGGAAGGUUAAGGGGAGAGGUUAGCGCAAGCGAAGCUUUGAACCGAAGCCCCGGUGAACGGCGGCCGUAACUAUAACGGUCCUAAGGUAGCGAAAUUCCUUGUCGGGUAAGUUCCGACCCGCACGAAUGGUGUAACGAGUGGGGCACUGUCUCAACGAGGGACCCGGUGAAAUUGAAGUAGCGGUGAAGAUGCCGUUUACCCGCAGCAGGACAAAAAGACCCCGUGGAGCUUUACUGUAGCUUGGCAUUGAGUUAGGGCUUGGCUUGUGUAGGAUAGCUGGGAGACUGAGAAACUGGGGCGCUAGCCUCGGUGGAGUCGCCGUUGAAAUACCAGCCUGGUUAAGUCUUGACCCUAACCUGAGUCCGUAAUCCGGCUUGGGGACAGUGCCUGGUAGGCAGUUUGACUGGGGCGGUCGCCUCCUAAAAGGUACCGGAGGCGCGCAAAGGUUCCCUCAGGCUGAAUGGAAACCAGCCAUAGAGUGCAAACGCAUAAGGGAGCUUGACUGCAAGACCUACAAGUCGAGCAG